UACGUAGGGGGCAAGCGUUAUCCGGAAUUACUGGGUGUAAAGGGUGAGUAGGCGGCAUGGUAAGCCAGAUGUGAAAGCCUUGGGCUUAACCCGAGGAUUGCAUUUGGAACUAUCAAGCUAGAGUACAGGAGAGGAAAGCGGAAUUCCUAGUGUAGCGGUGAAAUGCGUAGAUAUUAGGAAGAACACCAGUGGCGAAGGCGGCUUUCUGGACUGAAACUAACGCUGAGGCACGAAAGCGUGGGGAGCGAACAGG
rnacentral:rRNA from 1 species